GCAGCACGGGAGCAAUCCUGGUGGCGAGUGGCGAACGGGUGAGUAAAGCAUCGGAACGUGCCCAGUCGUGGGGGAUAACGUAGCGAAAGCUACGCUAAUACCGCAUACGAUCUGUGGAUGAAAGCGGGGGACCGUAAGGCCUCGCGCGAUUGGAGCGGCCGAUGUCAGAUUAGGUAGUUGGUGGGGUAAAGGCCUACCAAGCCGACGAUCUGUAGCUGGUCUGAGAGGACGACCAGCCACACUGGGACUGAGACACGGCCCAGACUCCUACGGGAGGCAGCAGUGGGGAAUUUUGGACAAUGGGCGCAAGCCUGAUCCAGCAAUGCCGCGUGCAGGAUGAAGGCCUUCGGGUUGUAAACUGCUUUUGUACGGAGCGAAAAGGCUCUCACUAAUACUGAGGGCUCAUGACGGUACCGUAAGAAUAAGCACCGGCUAACUACGUGCCAGCAGCCGCGGUAAUACGUAGGGUGCAAGCGUUAAUCGGAAUUACUGGGCGUAAAGCGUGCGCAGGCGGUCUUGUAAGACAGGUGUGAAAUCCCCGGGCUUAACCUGGGAGCUGCACUUGUGACUGCAAGGCUGGAGUACGGCAGAGGGGGAUGG
rnacentral:rRNA from 1 species